AUUGAACGCUGGCGGCAUGCUUUACACAUGCAAGUCGAACGGCAGCACGAAAGAGCUUGCUCUUUUGGUGGCGAGUGGCGAACGGGUGAGUAAUGCAUCGGAACGUACCGAGUAAUGGGGGAUAACUGUCCGAAAGGAUAGCUAAUACCGCAUACGCUUUGAGAAGGAAAGUGGGGGCUCUUCGGACCUCACGUUAUUCGAGUGGCCGAUGUCUGAUUAGCUAGUUGGUGGGGUAAAGGCCUACCAAGGCGACGAUCAGUAGCGGGUCUGAGAGGAUGAUCCGCCACACUGGGACUGAGACACGGCCCAGACUCCUACGGGAGGCAGCAGUGGGGAAUUUUGGACAAUGGGCGCAAGCCUGAUCCAGCCAUGCCGCGUGUCUGAAGAAGGCCUUCGGGUUGUAAAGGACUUUUGUUAGGGAAGAAAAGGAUAGUGUUAAUACCAUGAUCUGCUGACGGUACCUAAAGAAUAAGCACCGGCUAACUACGUG
rnacentral:rRNA from 1 species